CCUACGGGUGGCAGCAGUAGGGAAUAUUGCUCAAUGGGGGAAACCCUGAAGCAGCAACGCCGCGUGGAGGAUGAAGGUCUUCGGAUCGUAAACUCCUUUUGUCAGAGAAGAUAAUGACGGUAUCUAACGAAUAAGCACUGGCUAACGCCGUGCCAGCAGCCGCGGUAAUACGGCGGGCGCAAGCGUUACUCGGAAUCACUGGGCGUAAAGUGCGUGGAGGCGGGAUAGCAAGUCAGAUGUGAAAUCCUAGGGCUUAACCAUAGAACUGCAUUUGAAACUGUUAUUAUAGAGUAUGGGAGAGGUAGGUGGAAUUCUUGGUGUAGGGGUAAAAUCCGUAGAGAUCAAGAGGAAUACUCAUUGCGAAGGCGACCUGCUAGAACAUAACUGACGCUGAGGCGCGAAAGCGUGGGGAGCAAACAGGAUUAGAUACCCGAGUAGUC
rnacentral:rRNA from 1 species